CCGUCGCACCUACCGAUUGAAUGUUUCGGUGAAGAUUCCGGACUGUGGCUCGCGUGCUUUACGGCGCUCCUGCCGUGGGAAGUUAUCUAAACCUCAACAUUUAGAGGAAGGUGAAGUCGUAACAAGGUUUCCGUAGGUGAACCUGCGGAAGGAUCAUUA
rnacentral:rRNA from 1 species